rnacentral:rRNA from 1 species
UUGAGUUUGAUCGUGGCUCAGGAUGAACGCUGGCGGCGUGCCUAAUACAUGCGAAGUCGAGCGAACAGAUAAGGAGCUUGCUCCUUUGACGUUAGCGGCGGACGGGUGAGUAACACGUGGAUAACCUACCUAUAAGACUGGGAUAACUUCGGGAAACCGGAGCUAAUACCGGAUAACAUAUUGAACCGCAUGGUUCAAUAGUGAAAGGCGGCUUUGCUGUCACUUAUAGAUGGAUCCGCGCCGUAUUAGCUAGUUGGUAAGGUAACGGCUUACCAAGGCAACGAUACGUAGCCGACCUGAGAGGGUGAUCGGCCACACUGGAACUGAGACACGGUCCAGACUCCUACGGGAGGCAGCAGUAGGGAAUCUUCCGCAAUGGGCGAAAGCCUGACGGAGCAACGCCGCGUGAGUGAUGAAGGUCUUCGGAUCGUAAAACUCUGUUAUCAGGGAAGAACAAAUGUGUAAGUAACUGUGCACCAUCUUGACGGUACCUGAUCAGAAAGCCACGGCUAACUACGUGCCAGCCGCCGCCGUAACACA